rnacentral:rRNA from 1 species
GUGGCAGCCGCCGCGGUAAUACGAAGGGACCUAGCGUAGUUCGGAAUUACUGGGCUUAAAGAGCACGUAGGUGGUUAAAAAAGUUGGUGGUGAAAUCCCAGAGCUUAACUCUGGAACUGCCAUCAAAACUUUUUAGCUAGAGUAUGAUAGAGGAAAGUGGAAUUUCUAGUGUAGAGGUGAAAUUCGUAGAUAUUAGAAAGAAUACCAAUUGCGAAGGCAGCUUUCUGGAUCAUUACUGACACUGAGGUGCGAAAGCAUGGGUAGCGAAGAGGAUUAGAUACCCUCGUAGUCCAUGCCGUAAACGAUGUGUGCUAGACGUUGGAAAUUUAUUUUCAGUGUCGCAGCAAAAGCAUUAAGCACACCGCCUGGGGAGUACGACCGCAAGGUUAAAACUCAAAUGAAUUGACGGGGACCCGCACAAGCAGUGGAGCAUGUGGUUUAAUUCGAAGAUACGCGCAGAACCUUACCAACACUUGACAUGUUCGUCGCGACUUUAAGAGAUUAAAGUCUUCGGUUCGGCCGGACGAAACACAGGUGCUGCAUGGCUGUCGUCAGCUCGUGUCGUGAGAUGUUGGGUUAAGUCCCGCAACGAGCGCAACCCUUACUUUUAGUUGCCAUCAUUUAGUUGGGCACUCUGAAAGAACUGCCAGUGAUAAGCUGGAGGAAGGUGGGGAUGACGUCAAGUCCUCAUGGCCCUUAUGUGUUGGGCUACACACGUGCUACAAUGGCAUUUACAAUAGGAAGCGAGAUGGCGACAUCAAGCAAAUCCUAAAAAAAUGCCUCAGUUCGGAUUGUACUCUGCAACUCGAGUACAUGAAGCUGGAAUUGCUAGUAAUCGCGGAUCAGCGCGCCGCGGUGAAUACGUUCCCGGGUCUUGCACACACCGCCCGUC